rnacentral:rRNA from 1 species
CCUACGGGAGGCAGCAGUGAGGAAUAUUGGUCAAUGGACGAGAGUCUGAACCAGCCAAGUAGCGUGAAGGAUGACUGCCCUAUGGGUUGUAAACUUCUUUUAUCAAGGAGUAAAACGAUGCACGUGUGCCUUUUUGCAUGUACUUUAUGAAUAAAGAUCGGCUAACUCCGUGCCAGCAGCCGCGGGAAUACGGAGGAUCCGAGCGUUAUCCGGAUUUAUUGGGUUUAAAGGGAGCGUAGAUGGGUUGUUAAGUCAGUUGGGAAAGUUUGCGGGUCAACCAUAAAAUUGCCAUUGAUACUGGCAUUCUUGAGUACAGUUGAGGUAGGCGGAAUUCGUGGUGUAGCGGUGAAAUGCUUAGAUAUCACGAAGAACCCCGAUUGCGAAGGCAGCUUACUAAACUGUGACUGACAUUGAUGCUCGAAAGUGUGGGUAUCAAACAGGAUUAGAUACCCUUGUAGUC